UGUGUUCUCUCUGCCCUGUGUUCCCACUCACUCUUAGGCCCCCUGUGGUGACUUCUUAGGCUACUUCUUUCCUUCUGGGGUGUUUCACUAGGUCCUGCACCAUGGGAGACCACUUUCUGUCUGUCCAAGUUUAACCCUCGGUAAACCGUCAUGGCUCUGUAAACCGGCAGGGCACUUUGCAGACGCACGUCAAAAGUGCUUCCAGCUGCUUUUCUUUGCCCUUAAGGAGCCUUGAUGGAGGUCGUUUGGAAAUAAGAGUCAGAUUCCUUGAGCUCAUACGGAGCGGAGCGCUUUAUCCCUGAAGCUGUGCUGCAACGGGGAGAACGGAGGUCUCAGGGAGGGAGCCGUGAACCCACAGAACUACACCGCUCCGUGGGCGGAGCAGGAAAAGUGGAUUCAGACUGUGAAGGCUAUCUCCCCAGAGUCAGCGGGAAGAGCAACAGCGGGAGUCCGGCGUUCUGAGAGGGUCUCGUGUGUCCUAGGCUGGCCUCAAACCUACCUGAUUGGAGGCUGAGGAAGACCUGGCAACCCUGAUCCUCGUGUCUCUACCUCCCAAGUCCUGGAAUCCAGACACGGGUUCCCCAGCCCUAGCUGUGUUUUGAUCAGAAACAUAAGCAUCUACGUAUCUUCUUGUCUCUGAGCAGCCCCCUCCCGCCGCGGGCUGCCUCACUCUUGGGUGGUUGGUCUUCCUGACUUACAAGAGUUCUGCAAAGGUUCUGCUGUUCUGACAAUGCCUGAGCAUCAGCCGCCCACUGUCCUGUGGCACCGUAGGUCUAGGAAGAGGGUUGCUGCUUAGCGGCUAGAAGAAAUGAGGCAUCACCAGGUGGUGGCGCACGCCUUUAAUCCCAGUACUCAGGAGGCAGAGGCAGGGUGAUCUAUGUGAGUCUGAGGCAGCCUGGGAUACAAAGAAACAAAACAAGCCUCAAAGAAGAAAGGUACAAGGAUCCCAGACCAGCUGCCAGAGCCUGUGGCUUGCAGUCCGGCCUCAGAGCGCCACAAGCUUUAGACCCAGUUCCAGGGGCUGGUUGGGAUAGAAGCAACGCCUCUGCUCCAAAAAGGCACUUACCUUGUACCUCCUCCAAACCCAGAAAAUACACUGUGACAGCCACUGCUAGACGCAGCCCCGCCAUCAGCUGAACCCCUGUGCUCCUCCACAAGCCUUGAGUCGGUGUGGGCCUCACUUGGUGGAAGAGUCCACUUUGGCGUUCUGUAGCCUUAAGACUAGCUGCCAUAGCUACAAUCCAGAGUUCACCUAUGCUGGUCCCAACAACGUAGGGAAUGCCUCCCCCCCUCCUCCACCAGCACCAACCAUACAGCCAUGCAGCAAGCCUGGGGGGGAGGAGUGGGGAGGGGGCGAAACCAAAUUCAACCUGUCACCUACUUCUACAAAUAAAGCUUUAUCGGAACUCAA